rnacentral:rRNA from 1 species
GACGAACGCUGGCGGCGUGCUUAACACAUGCAAGUCGAGCGAACAGACGAGGAGCUUGCUCCUCUGACGUUAGCGGCGGACGGGUGAGUAACACGUGGAUAACCUACCUAUAAGACUGGGAUAACUUCGGGAAACCGGAGCUAAUACCGGAUAAUAUAUUGAACCGCAUGGUUCAAUAGUGAAAGACGGUUUUGUUGUCACUUAUAGAUGGAUCCGCGCCGCAUUAGCUAGUUGGUAAGGUAACGGCUUACCAAGGCAACGAUGCGUAGCCGACCUGAGAGGGUGAUCGGCCACACUGGAACUGAGACACGGUCCAGACUCCUACGGGAGGCAGCAGUAGGGAAUCUUCCGCAAUGGGCGAAAGCCUGACGGAGCAACGCCGCGUGAGUGAUGAAGGUCUUCGGAUCGUAAAACUCUGUUAUUAGGGAAGAACAAAUGUGUAAGUAACUAUGCACGUCUUGACGGUACCUAAUCAGAAAGCCACGGCUAACUACGUG